CACAGACAGACACGCCAAAAUAGCUGCCGCGUCUCUGUCGGAUCUCGUCUGUUUAUCGAUCUCACUUCAGCUCAGAAUCCCAUUCCGCUACUGCUGUCCCAUAUGAAGAGGGGGAAAGAAAGCACUCCCCGACCACGCACAUUCACACCGAAGCCUUCUUCAACUUACUCGCUGACCAGCUUUUUCGCAGCGGAAGAUGAGUGAUAAAGAUAAAAAGGCCGCCUACCCCGGCCAAACCUGGACGACGCUGUUUCUCCACCGACUAUUGGAUAAAGGGAACCGUGAGGUGUUAACAACACUCGGUGGAGACUAAAGAUUCUGACUGCCAAUAUGUCCAGCCUGAGACAUGCCCUUAACACUCGAACCGCUGGGCCUUGAGGGAUGCCCCUUCAGAAGCGCUGGGCCUCGGGGGACGCCCUUUCAAGUUAAAGAGCAGUCAUUCUGAUUGCUGCAUUCUUAGUGUAAUUAAUAAAUGUCAUGUAUGCUAUUGCAAAAAUAAUAAUUUGGUUGUGUUUAUGAAGGACUUGGGUAAUAUUAAAAUAAUGUUUAUUUUAUUUCAAAUAACACGAUAGCCUUUUCAUUAGUUUAUGUUACUGUAGGCUAUAUGUAAAAACAAAAAACACCAAAAUUCAAGUGUCAAUUUUAUUCAUGAGUGCCUUUGUUACAACUAUGAAACAGAAAGCAUAUGUGUUGGAACACGGUAACAGUUUAUUUUUAUAACGACAAAAUGUCGAUGUUUAUGACAAAAACGUUAUGUUGUGUAAUGGUCUGGGUGUAGCUGGUGCAGAGGAGUCAGGCGCAGGACAGUAGAGAUGAGUAACACAAGUAACUUUACUCAAAUAUUCCAAUAACAUGUCGUAAUACAGAGCCCACAAUAACGGACCGAACAUACAUAAAACAAUCGCGCACAAAAACCAUGGGGAAAACAGGGUUAAAUAAUGAACAUGUAAUUGGGGAAUUGAAACCAGGUGUGUAAAACAAAGACAAAACAAAUGGAAAAUGAAAAGUGGAUUGGCGAUGGCUAGAAGGCCGGUGACGUCGACCUCCAAACGCC
ensembl:lncRNA